rnacentral:lncRNA from 1 species
CUUCAUAAUAUUAAGCUUCCAGGUUUGUGUGGCCCUGGAUGAAGUGACUGUGUCAACGUUGAGUUGGUCCCUUGCUGUUGCAAUUGAUGAACCACAAGUCUGUGACUCUGGCUUGUCUACGUGUUAUCAUAUGCCAUUUUAUGUUGCCUUUCCAUAUGUGUCUUCACUGAAAAAUAAACUAAAACAUUAAUCAGACAUUAAAUUUAGGAUCCUGAGAUGAAUCCAGAACCUGUGACAUUCUGACACCACACUCUGAUUGUACCUCAGAGUGUCCUCUUUAGAACAAGACAUGGCCUCGUGGUGGAGCUGAUUCUGCUCAGAGCAGGGACCACGUCUGAAGCCUCAGCAGCAACCCCAGGGGGAGGGCAGCCAAGCGCAAGUGAUCAAAAUUCCUGCUCCUCACUUGUGACCCUCUGAAUUUGGGCAAGUUACUUAACUCUACUACAGAGGUUUCCUCCCCAAAUUCAUGCUGAAAGGUAAUCCUCAGUGCGGUGGGUCUGGAAUGGGAGGGAGGCGAUUAGGUCAUGAGGGUGGAGCCCUCCUGAUGGUGGUUAGUGUUUUUCAUAAAGGAGACCCCAGAGGGCUGCCUCACCCCUUUUGCCAUGUGAGGACACAAGAAGGUAGCAGUUCUCUCUGGAUGAAUGCAAGCUCUCCCCAGACACCUGCUGACACCUUGAUCUUGAACUUCCCAGCCUCCAGAACAACAAGAAUACAUUUCUGUUGUAUAAGCUACCCAGUCUAUGGCAUUUUGUUAUAGGAGCCAGAAAAAAAUAAGAUGACUUGUAGGUCUGUGCUUCCUCAUCCUCAAAAUAAGGUUCAUGGAAUCGGCUUGAUAGUCUUUUGUGGGGGACUAACUAGAGUCUCAUACCUAGUGCCCAUGCCUAGCAAGCCCUCCAUAACUCUAAUCUAUUAUGAUUCCUGAGUAGAAGCUCACUGCUUUGGCUCAAGGCUGCUCCUAAUGUCACACUGAGCUUUCCAA